rnacentral:rRNA from 1 species
UAGGCAUGCAAGUCGAGCGACAAGGUUCCUUCGGGGACUGGAGGAGCGGCAAACGGGGUAGUAAGGCAUCGGAACGUACCCUUUCGUCUGGGAUAGCCUCGGGAAACUGAGUGUAAUACCGGAUAAUCUCUUCGGAGCAAAGGUCCGCCGCGUAAGGAGCGGCCGAUGUGAUACCAGCUUGUUGGUGAGGUAACGGCUCACCAAGGCGAAGACGUCUAGGGGGUGUGAGAGCAUGGCCCCCACCACUGGGACUGAGACACUGCCCAGACACCUACGGGUGGCUGCAGUCGAGAAUCUUUGGCAAUGGGCGAAAGCCUGACCAAGCGACGCUGCGUGCGGGAUGAAGGCCUUUGGGUUGUAAACCGCUGUCAGAGGGGAUCAAAGGAAACUUGAGAGAGCCUCAGAGGAAGCGCGGGCUAAGUUCGUGCCAGCAGCCGCGGUAAUACGAACUGCGCGAACGGUAUUCGGAAUCACUGGGCUUACAGGGUGCGUAGGCGGCCCACCAGGUCAGAUGUGAAAUCCCACAGCUCAACUGUGGAACUGCAUUUGAAACCGGCGGGCUUGAGUGAGCUAGAGGUAUACGGAACUUCCGGUGGAGCGGUGAUAUGUGUUGAUAUCGGAAGGAACACCAGAGGCGAAAGCGGUAUACUGGAGCUUGUCUGACGCUGAGGCACGAAAGCUAGGGUAGCGAACGGGAUUAGAUACCCCGGUAGUCCUAGCCGUAAACGAUCCGUACUAGACGGAGGGGGCUUGUCCUUCUCGGUCGCAGCGAAAGCAUUAAGUACGGCGCCUGGGGAGUAUGGUCGCAAGGCUGAAACUCAAAGGAAUUGACGGGGGCUCACACAAGCGGUGGAGCAUGUGGCUUAUUCGAGGCACGCGAAGAACCUUAUCCUAGACUUGACAUCUACGGAUACUCUGUGAAGCAGAGCCACGCUCGGUUGACGUAGACAGUGCUGCAUGCUGUCGUCAGCUCGUGCGUGAGGUGUCGGGUAGUCUUAACGAGGCGAACCG